rnacentral:ncRNA from 1 species
GGUUUGGUCGCCCGUCGAGGGCGCCAAGAGGGAAGCCGGUGAGAGUCCGGCGCAGUCCCGCUGCUGUAUGCUCGAGACUUGAAGCCCAAUCUGUUACGUCACUUUGCAGCGCCAUAGUUGCAUGGGAAGACAGGGCUGAAUGAGCAAGCCAGAAGACCUGCCAAAUCGCU